rnacentral:rRNA from 1 species
UGCAUGUCUCAGUACAAGCCAUAUUAAGGUGAAACCGCGAAAGGCUCAUUAAAUCAGUUAUGGUUCCUUAGAUCGUACCCACAUUUACUUGGAUAACUGUGGUAAUUCUAGAGCUAAUACAUGCAAACAGAGCUCCGACCGGAGACGGAAGGAGUGCUUUUAUUAGAUCAAAACCAAUCGGCGGCAAUUGGGUUUACUUAAUUGUUCGUCGCACUUUUUGGUGACUCUGAAUAACUUUUGGCUGAUCGCACGGUCUCGCACCGGCGACGCAUCUUUCAAAUGUCUGCCUUAUCAACUGUCGAUGGUAGGUUCUGCGCCUACCAUGGUUGUAACGGGUAACGGGGAAUUAGGGUUCGAUUCCGGAGAGGGAGCCUGAGAAACGGCUACCACAUCCAAGGAAGGCAGCAGGCGCGCAAAUUACCCACUCCCGGCACGGGGAGGUAGUGACGAAAAAUAACGAUACGGGACUCAUCCGAGGCCCCGUAAUCGGAAUGAGUACACUUUAAAUCCUUUAACAAGGACCAAUUGGAGGGUAAGUCUGGUGCCAGCAGCCGCGGUAAUUCCAGCUCCAAUAGCGUAUAUUAAAGUUGUUGCGGUUAAAAAGCUCGUAGUUGAAUUUGUGUCCCGCGCUGUCGGUUCACCGCCCGCGGUGUUUAACUGGCACGUCUCGCGGGACGUCCUGCCGGUGGAUGUGUGCUCUUUGUAUUCUCUCCCUUUAUAUUGUGCUUGCACUUUAUAUUGUGUGGGGUUUCUUAGUAUCACCAUCCGACUAACUAAUCCUGUCGCGGUGCUCUUAAUUGAGUGUCGAGGCGGGCCGGCACGUUUACUUUGAACAAAUUAGAGUGCUCAAAGCAGGCUAAAAUUUCGCCUGAAUAUUGUGUGCAUGGAAUAAUGGAACAGGACCUCGGUUCUAUUUUGUUGGUUUUCGGAACCCCGAGGU